CGCAGGAUGGACAAGUGGCUAAGUCACCGGGCUCAUAUCCCGGAGUCGCGGGUUCGACUCCCGCUCCUGCUA
rnacentral:tRNA from 1 species